rnacentral:rRNA from 1 species
UACGGAGGGUGCAAGCGUUAUCCGGAUUCACUGGGUUUAAAGGGUGCGUAGGUGGGCAGGUAAGUCAGUGGUGAAAUCUCCGAGCUUAACUCGGAAACUGCCGUUGAUACUAUUUGUCUUGAAUAUUGUGGAGGUAAGCGGAAUAUGUCAUAUAGGCGGUGAAAAUGCUUAGAUAUGACAUAGAACACCAAUUGCGAAGGCAGCUUACUACACAACGAUUGACGCUGAGGCACGAAAAGCGUGGGGGAUCAAAACAGG